UACAGAGGUGGCAAGCGUUGUUCGGAAUUACUGGGCGUAAAGGGCGCGUAGGCGGCUUGGUCAGUCCCGUGUGAAAUCCCUCGGCUCAACUGAGGAACUGCACGGGAAACUGCCUGGCUUGAGUUCGGGAGAGGGAAGCGGAAUUCCGGGUGUAGCGGUGAAAUGCGUAGAUAUCUGGAGGAACACCGGUGGCGAAGGCGGCAUCCUGGACCGGCAUUGACGCUGAGGUGCGAAAGCGUGGGGAGCAAACAGG
rnacentral:rRNA from 1 species